AUACGGAGGGUGCGAGCGUUAAUCGGAAUUACUGGGCGUAAAGCGUACGUAGGCGGUUUGCUAAGUCAGAUGUGAAAGCCCCGGGCUUAACCUGGGAACUGCAUUUGAUACUGGCAGACUAGAGUAUGAUAGAGGGGGGUAGAAUUCCUGGUGUAGCGGUGAAAUGCGUAGAUAUCAGGAGGAAUACCAGUGGCGAAGGCGGCCCCCUGGAUCAAUCCUGACGCUGAGGUACGAAAGCGUGGGGAGCGAACAGGAUUAGAAACCCUAGUAGUCC
rnacentral:rRNA from 1 species